CUUAUUUUUGGAAUUAAAAACAAAGAGAAAGAAGAGCGAGGUUGUAAAGACUCAGACAACGUUAGGGAAAGCCCUGGUGCAUUCGAUAGUUUGUACAGCGAACUACCAGAAAUCUUGUUUAUUCAAAGAUGUGAACUUCUAUGUCCUGAUAGACAAGGUGCUCCUACGGUUAGGGGUAUAGGCUGUGUUUAUCCUACUACUGAGAGAAUUAUGCAUAAUUGCCUGAUGAUAGAUGGUUUUGUCAAAGUUCAAGUAGAUAGAGUUGAAGAAGGUUGCGGAUUGAAUCGUCUCUUGCCUGAUUCAUGUAGUAGACUGUUUGGAAGAUGCAAAAGAAUGCUUUAUUUACUGGUCUGUUAAAUCAAUAAAGAGUUUAAACAAAGAUUCUCCUCAAAGUGUAGAACCAUCUCACCAUUCUAUGGAUGAAAGAAUCGGGUAUCAAAUAUACUCGUAUGCAUUACAAGAGGAGGAGGCUUUUAAUUGAUUGCUGGAAAAUAAAACCUCAAUGGUUCGUCAAAGUGAAAUUGACGAGUUUGUAGAGUGUACUUUAAAGGCGUCUAUUUCAGUUUUGGUGGCGGGAAGGACGACAAGGAUGAAUGGAGUGGCAAAGGAAUUUAAGCCAGUGAGUGCUGUUGAGAGCUUUGUGGUUAUUGGGGUGGAUAAAGGAGGUUGCACAAAGUCAAGGAGUUUUUUGGAUGGUUGAUUUUAUUUGUGCUAAACUGAAUGAUAGGAUGUUUUUUCUAUGUUAAAUUGAAUGUUUUAGACUAAUGGGUUAACAUGGAUGCUUUAGCUAUUUAUAACAUGGUUCAUUGUUUGUUA